ACGAACGUUGGCGGCGUGGUUAAGGCAUGCAAGUCGAGCGAUCUUAUUGAAUUUUGAGGCCGCAAGGCCAAGAGAUUUGAUUUGAUAGCGGCAAAAGGGUGAGGAAUACAUGGGUAAUCUACCUUUGGGUCGGGGAUAACAUUCCGAAAGGAGUGCUAAUACCGGGUAAGACCACAGCUUCGCAUGAAGCUGCGGUAAAAGAUGGGGACCGUAAGGCCUAUCGUCUGAAGAGGAGCCCAUGUCCUAUCAGCUAGUUGGCGGGGUAAUGGCCCACCAAGGCUUUUGACGGGUAGCUGGUCUGAGAGGAUGGUCAGCCACACUGGGACUGAGACACUGCCCAGACUCCUACGGGAGGCUGCAGUCGAGAAUCUUUCGCAAUGGGCGAAAGCCUGACGAUGCGACGCCGCGUGAGGGAUGAAGGUCUUCGGAUUGUAAACCUCUGUCACACAGGAAGAACGUCCUAUGGGUGAAUAACCCUGUGGGCUGACUGUACUGUGAGAGGAAGCCAUGGCUAACUCCGUGCCAGCAGCCGCGGUAAUACGGGGAUGGCUAACGUUGUUCGGAUUUAUUGGGUGUAAAGGGUAUGUAGGCGGGCUUGUAAGUUGGAUGUGAGAUACUUUGGCUUAACCAAAGAACUGCAUUCAAAACUGCUUGUCUUGAGUUUGGGAGAGGAGAGUGGAAUUCUCGGUGUAAGGGUGAAAUCUGUAGAUAUCGAGAGGAACAUCAGUGGCGAA
rnacentral:rRNA from 1 species